rnacentral:rRNA from 1 species
AUUGAACGCUGGCGGCAGGCCUAACACAUGCACGUCGAACGAGUGGCGGACUUUUGAGUAAUGUCUGGGAAACUGCCUGAUGGAGGGGGAUAACUACUGGAAACGGUAUCUAAUCCCGCAUACCAUCAGAUGUGCCCAGAUGGGCUUAGCUAGUAGGUGGGGUAACGGCUCACCUAGGCGACGAUCCCUAGCUGGUCUGAGAGGAUGACCAGCCACAAUGGAACUGAGACACGGUCCAGACUCCUACGGGAGGCAGCAGUGGGGAAUAUUGCACAAUGGGCGCAAGCCUGAUGCAGCCAUGCCGCGUGUAUGAAGAAGGCCUUCGGGUUGUAAAGUACUUUCAGCGGGGAGGCGGGAACCGAAGAAGAAGCACCGGCUAACUCCGUGCCAGCAGCCGCGGUAAUAG